UAGAUAUGUUUUGCUGCUAUUUGGUUCUCUAGGCUAUGAAAGGGUAUUGGUUGCUCUUCGGUACUGCUGGGAAACAAAUUGAUGCCGUACAUUUCAUUCAUGCCUUCCAGCUUACUGAAAGCUUUCCCCCUGUUCCCCUCCUGAAGACAUACUUAAAGAAUUGAAGGAGAAACUCACAGGGAAAGGGUGUGAGUUCGGGUAGAGAUACUAGUGACAGAUUGAUGUAAAUGCACAGGAACCUGCGGCUUUGAAAGCUGUAGUUAGUUGUGUCCAAGAGUACAGGCUUGAACCUGACUAUCCUCUUGAUCCAUUUCAGAGAAGGAUUGAACAACUGGAGAGGUCGA